GUAAAUAGGCAAACCUGCUGAAAAGCAGUGACGCAAAGCUAAAGGGCCUUGGCGGUAAAGCCGUGGCAGCCAGCUGCC
rnacentral:ncRNA from 1 species